UUGUAAAUUAUUUACAAAAUAAUUGUAAAUUAUAUGAUUAAAUAAUCAUAUAAUUGAAAUUAGAAGUGUGCACAUACUUUACUAUUAUAUACAGAAUGAGCAAAUACUGUUUACUAAUAUCUUCUGCACGUUUUAACAAUAUAUUCUGCACGUUUUACUUACGACGAAACAACGAAAGCGAAUGGUUUGUUGAAAUAAACGAAGCCUUGUUAUAAUAUGUCGCUAUUAACUAUUACCAAGGCGCCACCUGUGACCACCAAUAAGAUAAACGGUCCAUUGGGGAAGAAUGUUGUCUUGCGUCAUCAAUUUACUAUUAUUGCGCCAUUAUAUGCUUUGAAUAAUAAAAAUACUCCCGUGGCGCCCUCUGCGAAACGUGUGAUUUCGGCGUGGCAGUCAAAGUGUUAGGGUAACCUGAUUAUCCCGAUAUUUAGUCGAAAGUUUCGCCUCAACCAUCGAAAGUAUCUCGCAAGUUUUUCAUUUCGAUUAAUCUAGCAGAAAGAUUGCUCGCCCUCUGAGGAGACACGAUGCCACCUUACGGACAAGGAGGAUCGAAUGGAACGUCAGGCACUCGAUACUCGGCGCAUUAAUCUGCCAUACCAUCGAACAAUUCGAAAGUUAGAAAAUAUUCGCGCACGCCACGUGAAACUUGGCCGCCGGGUAAUAAGAGAGACGCGCCAGGAGCCACGAGCUUCGCAGCAACAUCGACGUUCUUACGCAGAACCGCAGCGCACGUUGCAUCCGGCCAUGCGAGCCUCGCUCUAUCUGUCACCUGUUAUAAUUUUGCAAUACGUCGAACACGGUCGAUGCCACACGAUUCUGCCCGUGUUUUUACUUUAAAAACGCGUACAUCGAAUUUACAGUGGAAUUUAUCGUCUGUUAUUUGUAUAAACAUCACAUAGAAUAUCAAGGCUCGUUGAAACACGUUCAAUAGAUUUAAAAUAGAUUCAAAUUUCUAGAUUAUCUGGUCAAGUACACUGCACCUGGUAGCUGUCGAGAUUUCCAUCUUUUGAAACGAGGAUAUUUGGUAAUCGUUUAGGCGAAAACUAUUUUCCGGGCAAUUUCGGAAAUUGUUUGAAAUGGACAAAAAAGAAUGAAAUUUUUGGAAGCUUGUAAAGAACAUAAUAAACGACAAAAUCGUUUUACUAAA